ensembl:snoRNA
GCUGAGGUCUACCUUGAUCAACUUUUUCUGCAGACCCACAUUUUUCUGCAGAUGCCUCAUUGAAUAACUAUGCUGUUUGCUUUAGUCACAGAACUAUUUGUUAGAUCUGUAGAAAAGUAGUAUAAGAGAGAG